rnacentral:rRNA from 1 species
AACGAACGCUGGCGGCAUGCCUAACACAUGCAAGUCGAACGAGACCUUCGGGUCUAGUGGCGCACGGGUGCGUAACGCGUGGGAACCUGCCCUUAGGUUCGGAAUAACUCCCCGAAAGGGGUGCUAAUACCGGAUAAUGUCUUCGGACCAAAGAUUUAUCGCCUUUGGAUGGGCCCGCGUUGGAUUAGCUAGUUGGUAGGGUAAAAGCCUACCAAGGCGACGAUCCAUAGCUGGUCUGAGAGGAUGAUCAGCCACACUGGGACUGAGACACGGCCCAGACUCAUAGGGGAGGAGGGGGGGGGGAAGUGUGGAAAAGGGCGUAGAGCGUGACCCACCAAGGCCGGGUGUGGAAAAAAGCCUUUGGGGUAGAAAGGCUUUUUACCCCGGAAAGAUAGUGACGGUACGGGGAAAAUAGCCCCCGGCUCCCCCCGUC